AUUGAACGCUGGCGGCAUGCCUAACACAUGCAAGUCGAACGAAAACAUGAAACGCCUUGCUGUUUCGCUUACGCGUGGCGCGCGUGUGUGUCAUGUCUGUGAAACUGCCUGAUGACGGGGGUAACCUACUGGAAACGGUACCAAAUCCCGCAUAACGUUUCAAGACCAAAGAGCGAGAGCUUCAGGCGUCUUUCCUUCAGAUGUUCCCUGAUGGGAUUAGCUAGUAGGUGGGGUAACGGCUCACCUAGGCGACGAUCCGUAGCUGGUCUGAGAGGUUGACCAGCCACACUGGAACUGAGACACGGUCCAGACUCCUACGGGAGGCAGCAGUAGGGAAUAUUGCGCAAUGGGCGCAAGCCUGAUGGAGCCAUGCCGCGUGUAUGAUGAAGGCCUUCGGGUUGUAAAGUACUUUCAGCGGGGAGGAAGAAAGUAGAGUUAAUACAUGCACGUAUUGACGUUACCCACAGAAGAAGCCCCGGCUAACUACGUG
rnacentral:rRNA from 1 species